rnacentral:rRNA from 1 species
GGGAAUAUUGCGCAAUGGAGGAAACUCUGACGCAGUGACGCCGCGUAUAGGAAGAAGGUUUUCGGAUUGUAAACUAUUGUCGUGAGGGAAGAAAUUGACAGUACCUCAGGAGGAAGCUCCGGCUAACUAUGUGCCAGCAGCCGCGGUAAUACGUAGGGGGCAAGCGUUAUCCGGAUUCAUUGGGCGUAAAGCGCGCGCAGGCGGGUUGCUAAGCGGGACCUCUAAUCUUGGGGCUCAACCUCAAGCCGGGUCCCGAACUGGCAGCCUCGAGUGCGGUAGGGGUAAGCGGAAUUCCCGGUGUAGCGGUGGAAUGCGCAGAUAUCGGGAAGAACACCGAUGGCGAAGGCAGCUUACUGGGCCGACACUGACGCUGAGGCGCGAAAGCUAGGGGAGCGAACAG